AGUGUUGCCUUGACAACAGGUUUGAAAAUCUGAGUCUGGUAAGGCAAAGACUAGGGGGAGAAAUGAGGGAAAAUAGGAAGAAGCAGGAAAGGGGGGAAAUUAAGCUGGCAAAGCUUUCCCCCAAACCACAACUUGCCUCUAUGUAGUUGUCAGUCUAUUAGAAGCAAGCACUGCUGAAUGGGGGGCUAUAAAGUGAGCAACAGGAGGCUCUUCUCUUUUCAUGGCCCAUUCCUGCAGCAGGAGGAAAUUGCACAGCCAAGGAGCAGCAUGCAGCACCGUCACUGGAUGUCACAGCUGGUAAUCUUCCAAGAAGCUUCCAUGUCCUCCUCACAGGCAGGCAGGAGGACGACACAGCUUCAUUGUCUCACUGUGUCAAGGAGGACAUCACCUGAAGUCCCCAGGAAGCUUCUGUGUGCCUGAGGGCUGAAGCCCAGCUCUCCUGGCACAUCUCCAUCCUCCCAUAUGCAGCUGCCCUGCAGAACCGAGCAGCCACACAGAUGGCCCAGAUGUGGGGUUUAACACAGAACAAGAGGAAGGCAGUUUGGGGCAUCUGUUAAUGAGAGAAAAUCACCAUGCAUGGAAAUCUUAUGUAUGGCAAAUAAAUGGUGGGCAAAUACCA